UACGAAGGGGGCUAGCGUUGCUCGGAAUCACUGGGCGUAAAGGGUGCGUAGGCGGGUCUUUAAGUCAGGGGUGAAAUCCUGGAGCUCAACUCCAGAACUGCCUUUGAUACUGGCGAUCUCGAGUCCGGGAGAGGUGAGUGGAACUGCGAGUGUAGAGGUGAAAUUCGUAGAUAUUCGCAAGGACACCAGUGGCGAAGGCGGCUCACUGGCCCGGUACUGACGCUGAGGUGCGAAAGCGUGGGGAGCAAACAGG
rnacentral:rRNA from 1 species